GUGUAAUUUCGAUGAAAUAUCAUCCAUAUUUCAAACGCUAGUUUUGAUUUAAUCAAAAUAAAGAUAGAGAGGAAAAUUGUUCUCAUGAUUUGUUUCCCCCUUUUUAUCUCUACUAAAUCUAAAAAUCAAAAGGGCCACUCGCUUCUCUCACCCGAUGCAUCAAGGAGUCCUUUUCUGAAGUUGCCCUCCAGACGAGAGAAUCCCUAGAAAGGCCCUAUUUUCCUCUGCCACUCUCAAUCCUCGCAGGUAAGGGGUCUCAUAGAGGACUAAAAUGGAUGAAAGUAUGAAGCAACUCCAACAAGGCUUAAUUGAGAUUGAAAUUGAAGCUGAGAAUGUCCUUUUAGCUCGACAUCAGCUAGUUGAGAAUGAUAGAGUGAGGAAUGGGAAUAGGGAAGCCCUUACAGCACUUAGGAAGAGGGCACGGACAACAAAAACCAGUGUUCCUUCUCCUUUUGAGUCGAUCAUGAAGGAGAUUGAGCAGCUUGAAUCAAGGCCUUUGGUGAAGGAGGUGUGUGCAACCUGUGGCAACCAUGACUCAAGGGAGAACACAUGGACGAUGUUCCCUGGAACUGAUGUUUUUGCUAGGAUUCCAUUUCAUGCUGCUCAUUCCAUUUUGGAGAAAGAUCAAGAACGACUUGAUUAUGAUGCAAAGAAACUACAAAGCUACUUGAAGGAAAAAUCCUUUUUAAUUUCGGAGAAAGGUGUUCUUGCUGACAAGAUCAGCCCUGGUAUUAUCAGAUCUCUGGUGACCUUAACUGACAAGCCGAAAUAAUCGACUCCAAGAAGAAUACCCGCACAUUUCCACCUUUUGUCUUUGAAAUUUACAGAAGAAUGUAUCUAAUGUGUGUUAGUGUAAUAAAUUAUGCAGCCCAAUGAUAGUUGUGGUGUUGUCCAUGUUAUGGUUAGUAUUUUUUUACCUGACCAUCAAAUACAACCUCAUAAUUGUUAUGCACAUGCACACAAUAAAAAGCACAUGCCUGGAUAUGUGUAUUCCACAAAGUACAUGUAUAGAACCAUGUUCCCGUGCAGUUGCUUUCUUCCACACCCCAUAUAAUUGUCUCCCGUAUAUGCAUGCAAAGUCCAAAUCUGGGCCUGUGACCACAAUAAUAGCUUUAAUUUGUGUUUUUCCUUUCAGUGUUUUGUGUUUUCUUCCUCACUACUCAAACAACGUGUUAGAAAAAGUUCGGUGUGAGGUUUCCGGGACCAUUUAGUUCUAUACUUGCACUAUAGAGUUCAGAAGUUUCGUGGGGACUCUACAAACGGUUGAAGAUAACAUGUCAUGCUUUUGUCUUCUUCUUUCUGUCAUUCUCUGUGGUCCCUUUUCACCAAAGGCUUUGCUUUUCUCAUCAUUCCUUUUUCCUCUUCCUUCCCUUUCCUCUCAAGAAAAUGGUGUCUUUCAGCAAGCAAGAAGUGAAAUAGAAGAGAGUCUCGGGUGUCUUGGGUGUCUCAGAUACCUGGAACAUGUCUCAAUGAAUUUUGUAUGAUAGAGAUAUAUUCCCUAAAGGUAGAGGGAUUUGCUGAACUUUCUCAGUUGAGGUGAGUGAUAGAAGAAAAGCAACUUCAGAGAGAUGGAAAGAGCUUGCCCUUCACUGCAAAGGAGAAAAUAGAUAGAGCUGUAGCAGGAAAAUUGGAGGCAUGCCAAGUGAAAGUUUCCAUGUAAUUAUAGGAGAUUUUGAUGGAACUGUAAUACUGAUUUAAAUAAUAAUCAUUUUAAGGUCCAUCCAGUGUUUGGAUGUCUCUUGUUUAUUGGCUGAGUGUUAGAAAUCUUCCCUGUUUGAGUAAAUUAAUAAAGCGAGGUUCAAGUCUA